GACGAACGCUGGCGGCGUGCCUAAUACAUGCAAGUUGAGCGAUGAAGAUUGGUGCUUGCACCAAUUUGAAGAGCAGCGAACGGGUGAGUAACGCGUGGGGAAUCUGCCUUUGAGCGGGGGACAACAUUUGGAAACGAAUGCUAAUACCGCAUAAUAACUUUAAACAUAAGUUUUAAGUUUGAAAGAUGCAAUUGCAUCACUCAAAGAUGAUCCCGCGUUGUAUUAGCUAGUUGGUGAGGUAAAGGCUCACCAAGGCGAUGAUACAUAGCCGACCUGAGAGGGUAAUCGGCCACAUUGGGACUGAGACACGGCCCAAACUCCUACGGGAGGCAGCAGUAGGGAAUCUUCGGCAAUGGACGAAAGUCUGACCGAGCAACGCCGCGGGAGUGAAGAAGGUUUUCGGAUCGUAAAACUCGGUUGGUAGAGAAGAACGUUGGUGAGAGUGGAAAGCUCAUCAAGUGACGGUAACUACCCAGAAAGGGACGGCUAACUACGUG
rnacentral:rRNA from 1 species